ACAUGCAGUCGAGGGGCAGCAUUUUAGUUUGCUUGCAAACUAAAGAUGGCGACCGGCGCACGGGUGAGUAACACGUAUCCAACCUGCCGAUAACUCGGGGAUAGCCUUUCGAAAGAAAGAUUAAUAUCCGAUAGUAUAUUAAAACCGCAUGGUUUUACUAUUAAAGAAUUUCGGUUAUCGAUGGGGAUGCGUUCCAUUAGUUUGUUGGCGGGGUAACGGCCCACCAAGACUACGAUGGAUAGGGGUUCUGAGAGGAAGGUCCCCCACAUUGGAACUGAGACACGGUCCAAACUCCUACGGGAGGCAGCAGUGAGGAAUAUUGGUCAAUGGACGAGAGUCUGAACCAGCCAAGUAGCGUGAAGGAUGACUGCCCUAUGGGUUGUAAACUUCUUUUAUAUGGGAAUAAAGUAUUCCACGUGUGGGAUUUUGUAUGUACCAUAUGAAUAAGGAUCGGCUAACUCCGUGCCAGCAGCCGCGGUAAUACGGAGGAUCCGAGCGUUAUCCGGAUUUAUUGGGUUUAAAGGGAGCGUAGGUGGAUUGUUAAGUCAGUUGUGAAAGUUUGCGGCUCAACCGUAAAAUUGCAGUUGAAACUGGCAGUCUUGAGUACAGUAGAGGUGGGCGGAAUUCGUGGUGUAGCGGUGAAAUGCUUAGAUAUCACGAAGAACUCCGAUUGCGAAGGCAGCUCACUAGACUGCAACUGACACUGAUGCUCGAAAGUGUGGGUAUCAAACAGGAUUAGAUACCCUGGUAGUCCACACAGUAAACGAUGAAUACUCGCUGUUUGCGAUAUACAGUAAGCGGCCAAGCGAAAGCAUUAAGUAUUCCACCUGGGGAGUACGCCGGCAACGGUGAAACUCAAAGGAAUUGACGGGGGCCCGCACAAGCGGAGGAACAUGUGG
rnacentral:rRNA from 1 species